UUGAUGGAAUUGCUAUGAUUUUUUAAUUUAGCUCCUUUAAGUUCAAGUGCGUUAAACUCUCAAGGCCAAUGUAACAAGAUUAUGAGAAGUGAAACACACUGAUUUUGGGAUUAUCCUUGAAAAACAGAAGUAUGUGCGGAAAUGCAUGUCAUCACAUCUAUUCCAGACUAUUCCCCAUCCUCUAUUAAGAGUGUGAAGUCCCAAUGGUUUGAGUCAUUACCACGAAGCAGAGACACUACUUAUCUCAUAUAGAAGACCAAAGCAGACCAACAUGAAUGGAGGAAAGGUCUGAUCAAGACUUUGUAAGGAUCUCAAGAAAAAAAAGAUAUCGAUUGAAUGCGUUGAGAAUGCCGAUGGAGUUCCGGGUGUGGUUGUCUACGAUGAUGAAACUUUCCCCAUUUCUUCCCAACAAGGGGCUGCUUUUGGUGCUGGACAUGGACCUCACAGUUCUGUGAGACCUUACCAAUUCCCCCGUUGUGAGGAUGAGCAGACUGCCAUGGUGCGGGAUCCUCCAGACUCAAAUUAAUUCAAAGGAUCAUGGAUCUCCUCUCAAUCAUGGGCGGCUCUGGCACAUGAGUCACAUGGAGGAGGAGGAUGAAGAAGAGGAGGAGGACACACAUACCUCAAAUUUAGAGAUGAAGCUGCAAAGUAUAUUUAAUGCCUUUUUGUCUAGCAGGUUCUUUGUAAUGUACCAAUAUUUAUGUAUUUACAGCCAUGCUAGCAGCUCAGGGAGGCUUCAAUUGAUCACUUACAAACUGCAACAAUUUGGGGCAGCUAUUCUUUUCCUGCUAAAAUGUGUACAUGUAUACUUUUUCUUAUUAUUUAUAUUAGUAGUCUUAUCAUUAUUAUUAUUAUUUAUGUGGAUCAACAGAGUUAUAAAGUUGUAUGCUCUACAAACCACUCAAGUUGCAGGUUACAACCGUGUCUGUUCAAAAUGUGGACGUCACAUCAUGUUAUCAUAUCGGGCAUUUGUGUAAAAUUAUCUUAAUUAGCAUCCAGUUUUAGGGUCCCGAGGUACGCCAAGGGCUUGAGGGAGAUAUUAAAAAAACUGUUUGUGAAUAUGGAUGCAUGCUUAGUUUCAGGAAACAACAAUAAACUCUUUGAUAGA